AUCAUUUCUCGGCCUUUUGGCUAAGAUCAAGUGUAAUUCUUCACCAAAUCUGAACUAUUUAAUAUUUUAAAAUAAAUUUUUAGAAAAGGAAAUCUCA
ensembl:snRNA U2 U2 spliceosomal RNA